rnacentral:siRNA from 1 species
UGUAUCUCAGAUGUAAAAUGC